UGUUCCUUCUUCUGUUCCUUCCACACCACCCUCCUCCCUAUUCUCCUGUUCCUUCUUGCUCUUUUGCUGCUCCUCAUUCUCCUCCACGCUCUCCUGUUCGUCCUUCUUCUGUUCCUUCCACACCCCCUCCUCCUUAUUCUCCUGUUCCUUCUUGCUCUCCGGCUCCUCCUCUUUCUCCUCCAUGCUCUUUUGCUCCUUCUUCUUCUAUUCCACCUUCACCCCCUGCUCCUUCCCCUCUGGUUCCACUUAUUGUGGCUCCUUCUGAGCUGCCCUGUGUUCCCGAUGCUGGCCUUUCCCUGUCUCCAUGUUAUUCAGGACUCAGGCUCCACAGUGGAAGGGACCAGCGAGGACUUAGCGGUUGGGGAAACCAACGAGGCUCCUAGCAGCAGCAGCAGCAGCAGCACACCUGGUAGAGAACUAGCCUUUGCGUCUGGCUGGGCAGUUCUUGUCGCAGGUUGCGUCUGGCACUGGGGCCUGCGUUUACAGUUCAGCAUGGUGGUGGGAUGGACUUUUCUUUCACCCUGGAGGCUGAGUUCAGCGCCUGGCAGGGCCGUCGACCCCCCCCAUGCAAGUUGCUCUAGCGUCUGGCAGGGGAGCAGUGCCACUGAUACUGAUGUACUGACCAGUGUGUCUGUCAGUCCAGCAGACAAAGUUUCAUAAGGAGAAGGCGCUGAGGGCACGAGGAGAAGGAGAAGGUGACACCAGGCAAUGAGACGACCGAUCUGGACCAUGGUCCUGCAGUCCAAGGAGAUGUCAGAGCGAUUGCAGGAACUACGGCUGCACAAUUACAUUCAGUGCAGCUGUGGAGGAUGGACACAACAGACACCAUAGGACCACCUGGAGAGAAGUUGUCACCUGUGUCUAUGGAGGCUCAAUGCUCAUCCUUCGGCUCUUUGCUCCCUCCAGCCUCCGGUCCCGACAGAGGGG